AUGAGCAUCCAAAAACCAUACUCAAAAAAAGAUAUUGAUGACAUCCGAUCACGUUGGGUCAGUGUCUUCUUUUCUCAUUAUGAAGCUCGAUAUGAUCAUGUCAAACGAGUGUAUUCUGUCUUGAUGAUACCAAUACUUAGGUGCUGUGCUGUUUUUGGGACCGAAAUUCGGCCAACUACGGAAUGUGGAAGAACAAUGUACAUAAUUCGCCAAAGAAUAGACCUGUUGUUACUCAUGAGAAUGCAGAAAAAACAUGUGCUGUUUUUGGUUGAAACAAAGGUUCAUGUGUUGAGAAAAUUCCAAAAAGUUCAAUAA
rnacentral:lncRNA from 1 species